rnacentral:rRNA from 1 species
UACGGGAGGCAGCAGUGGGGAAUAUUGCACAAUGGGCGAAAGCCUGAUGCAGCUAUGCCGCGUGUAUGAAGAAGGCCUUAGGGUUGUAAAGUACUUUCAUCGGGGAGGAAAAAACAAAACUAAUAAUUUUAUUUCUUGACGUUACCCGAAAAAGAAGCACCGGCUAACUCCGUGCCAGCAGCCGCGGUAAUACGGAGAGUGCUAGCGUUAAUCAGAAUUACUGGGCGUAAAGAGCACGUAGGUGGUUUUUUUAAGUCAGAUGUGAAAUCCCUGGGCUUAACCUGGAACUGCAUUUUGAAACUGAAAUACUAGAGUAUCGUAGAGGGAGGUAGAAUUCUAGGUGUAGCGGUGAAAUGCGUAGAUAUCUGGAGGAAUACCUGUGGCGAAAGCGGGCCUCCUAAACGAAUACUGACACUGAGGUGCGAAAGCGUGGGGAGCAAACAGGGAUUAGAUACC